UACAGAGGGGGCAAGCGUUGCUCGGAAUCACUGGGCGUAAAGCGCACGUAGGCGGAUUGCUAAGUCAGGGGUGAAAUCCUGGAGCUCAACUCCAGAACUGCCUUUGAUACUGGCGAUCUUGAGUCCGGGAGAGGUGAGUGGAACUGCGAGUGUAGAGGUGAAAUUCGUAGAUAUUCGCAAGAACACCAGUGGCGAAGGCGGCUCACUGGCCCGGUACUGACGCUGAGGUGCGAAAGCGUGGGGAGCAAACAGG
rnacentral:rRNA from 1 species